rnacentral:rRNA from 1 species
CCUACGGGGGGCUGCAGUGGGGAAUAUUGGACAAUGGGGGCAACCCUGAUCCAGCCAUGCCGCGUGUGUGAAGAAGGCCCUCGGGUUGUAAAGCACUUUCAGUGAGGAAGAACGCCUGGUGGUUAAUACCCAUCAGGAAAGACAUCACUCACAGAAGAAGCACCGGCUAACUCCGUGCCAGCAGCCGCGGUAAUACGGAGGGUGCGAGCGUUAAUCGGAAUUACUGGGCGUAAAGCGCGCGUAGGUGGCUUGAUAAGCCGGUUGUGAAAGCCCCGGGCUCAACCUGGGAACGGCAUCCGGAACUGUCAAGCUAGAGUGCAGGAGAGGAAGGUAGAAUUCCCGGUGUAGCGGUGAAAUGCGUAGAGAUCGGGAGGAAUACCAGUGGCGAAGGCGGCCUUCUGGACUGACAUUGACACUGAGGUGCGAAAGCGUGGGUAGCAAACAGGAUUAGAUACCCUGGUAGUC